UAACAGUGAAACUGCCGUUUACCUCUCCGUUUAUUUCUUUUUCUCUUUUAUUUUUCCCCUGUUUCAGACUCAAGAACUCCCACAAGAAAACCCCAAAACUCACCAGCUCCUAGAUUUCUCUAUGACGUUCUCUUUUCUUCUCUUUCUCUCUCGCUUAGAUUGUUUGAGUUAUCGAAUCCAGCUCUCUGAACUCUCUCUCUUGCUCUAUUUUCACAUAUUGGUUGGCUGGAACUAAAGUGAUUCGUUGGAAAAUAAUGACAAUUGGGUUAGCAUGCUUAAAGAUUUGUUCAUUUUUUUCUCGACCUCUCAGUUGAAGCAUGUUCUCAAGGAACAUCUUCAUUAAAUUGUCACAAGAUGCAAGGUUGCUCCUGCCUAUUUUCUGUCCAGAUUUUUUACAAAAGCAGGUGUUUGACUGCCUUUUUCCUACACUGCUUGCUUUCUUAGAAGAUAUGAUAGUUUAAUGGAGACAAAGUGAUUUGCAGCUCAACCAUUUUGAACAUAUUGUUUGCCAAUCAAGCAGAGAGGCAGUUGGUGUUAGAUUGAAUAGGUAGUAGGACUUAAGCUCAUGAAUAUAUUCAAUUUAUUCUGUACAAUUGUAAUUUAUUUAAAAAUUGCAAAA